AAGAGACAGCAGUCGCCGCGGGAACACGUAGGUGGCAAGCGUUGUCCGGAAUUAUUGGGCGUAAAGGGCUCGCAGGCGGUUUCUUAAGUCUGAUGUGAAAGCCCCCGGCUCAACCGGGGAGGGUCAUUGGAAACUGGGAAACUUGAGUGCAGAAGAGGAGAGUGGAAUUCCACGUGUAGCGGUGAAAUGCGUAGAGAUGUGGAGGAACACCAGUGGCGAAGGCGACUCUCUGGUCUGUAACUGACGCUGAGGAGCGAAAGCGUGGGGAGCGAACAGGAUUAGAUACCCCCGUAGUCCCUGUCUCUUAUAC
rnacentral:rRNA from 1 species